UACGGGGGGAGCAAGCGUUGUCCGGAUUUAUUGGGCGUAAAGAGCGUGUAGGCGGCUAGGUAGGUCCGUUGUGAAAACUCGAGGCUCAACCUCGAGACGCCGAUGGAAACCAUCUGGCUAGAGUCCGGAAGAGGAGAGUGGAAUUCCUGGUGUAGCGGUGAAAUGCGCAGAUAUCAGGAAGAACACCCGUGGCUAAGGCGGCUCUCUAGUACGGUACUGACGCUGAGACGCGAAAGCGUGGGGAGCGAACAGG
rnacentral:rRNA from 1 species